rfam:Stegodyphus mimosarum contig66451, whole genome shotgun sequence.
GCCUUCAUGGUGUAGCGGUUAGCACACUCGACGCGUAUUCGAGAGGUCGGGGGUUCGAAUCCCGGCGAAGGCA